rnacentral:rRNA from 1 species
UUUUUUUGGAGGGCAAGUCUGGUGCCAGCAGCCGCAGUAAUUCAGCUCAUAGCGUAUAUUAAAGUUGUUGCAGUUAAAAAGCUCGUAGUUGAAUUUCGGGAUUGACACAUCGGUCGUGCCUUAAGGGGUAUGAACUGGUGUAGUCAAUUUCUCACCUUCUGGAGAACCGCGAUGCCCUUAAUUGGGUGUCGCGGGGAACCAGGACCUUUACUUUGAAAAAAUUAGAGUGUUUAAAGCAGGCAUUUUGCUUGAAUACAUUAGCAUGGAAUAAUAAAAUAGGACGGCAUGAUUCUAUUUUGUUGGUUUCUAGGAUCACCGUAAUGAUUAAUAGGGAUAGUUGGGGGCAUUAGUAUUCAAUUGUCAGAGGUGAAAUUCUUGGAUUUAUUGAAGACUAACUACUGCGAAAGCAUUUGCCAAGGAUGUUUUCAUUAAUCAAGAACGAAAGUUAGGGGAUCGAAGACGAUCAGAUACCGUCGUAGUCUUAACCAUAAACUAUGCCGACUAGGAAUCAGACGAUGUUAAUUUUAAUGACUCGUUGCCACCUUACGGGAAACCAAAGUGUUUUGGGUUCA